CCUGUUCGAAAAGGCGCCGCCGAGGGCCGCUUAGUCGCCGGAAAGUCACUCGUCGGGCUCCGGCCGCCACGAUUUGGUACUAAUCGGACAAAAACUCGGGAUCUUAGAAAAUUCAAAAUUUUGUUCAUAGAAACUUUGAAAUGGAAGGUUCUCUUGUAGAUUUAUCAAUAGUAAUCUUAAAUACAAAGGAAAAUGGAAGAAA
rnacentral:lncRNA from 1 species